rnacentral:lncRNA from 1 species
UGCUGGCCAUUCCGAACAUUAUCGAAAUAGUAAGAACAUAUAAACUAGUAAGAACAUAUAAACUAGUAAGAACAUAUAAACUAGUAAGAACAUAUAAAAAGGAAAUCAUUCAACACCGACCUGCCUCGGACCUCCUGAGAAAAGGGAAGCGAUUAUCCUCAGCAAACCUCAAAAGGCAGUAUGCAGAGGCUGUGUGAACUACAGCUAUCGAGUAGUAAGAUUUGUGAAGUGACUAAAAUGCUACAACUAUCGAAUAGCAAGAUUUGUGAAGUGACUGAAAUGACUGCAUAUGUUGCAAAUUCAAAGCCAAACAAUUCAAUAGAGAUGACCACCACAGGGCUAAAUCUAUGGUAAACUGGAAGAGAGUGUUCUUGUGUUAAGAAAAUCCAGACAGAGCUAAAGUGCAAAACGUCUUCAACGAAAAUAUCCUCCACUUCGUCAUACGAGUAUUUCGACUUUUGACUCUUUACACUCCUAGAUGGGAGUCGGACAGCAUCUAGGUUACGACUCAUAGUACUAUUAUCUUUCCAUGUUUUACACUACGGUCUGUAUUGCAGCUCUCAUUACUAAUGAAAAUACUGCAGAGCCAAGUAUCUAUGGUGUUGUAAUCAGUUCAGUAUAAUCCUUCUGAAAACGACUUCUCUAUGGACCUUUUCACGGGUACCGUUGCUUUAAGAGAUCCAACUUUCUUUCUCUCAGAAAUUCAAUGCUGUUUUCAUCAGAUUAUAUAUAUACAGGGGCUGGACAACAUAAUGGAAACAACUAUCAUCAUAGCAUCAUCAUUUUGAAAUAUCUAUAAAACUGCCAAAAGCUUG